rfam:Bombyx mori DNA, contig: Bm_scaf83_contig33303, strain: p50T/Dazao, build 2, whole genome shotgun sequence.
UUAACUGAAAUUUGUAUGGAAUUGGAACGUUUGCCUUCGUUUGCCUCUAGAGGUGCUGUUUCAACUGCACACAAAUUUCAGUCA